GGAGAAUCCAGUAGGGGGCAGAAGAGACCAGCAGUAGAGGAAGCCUGAGGAGGAACUGGCUGGAGCUCUUCAGAAGAGAAAGGCCAAGACCCAGGGGAGGGCUCUGGUGGCCGGGCAGAAGGCGGUGCAGGGGCCUGACUCUGGUUUUGCAUCCCUGUGGGUACUCACUCACCUGUGGGACUGUGGGUAGGACCAAGAACAAAACCACUGAGCCUGCAAUGAAUGUUUGUGCUGAGGACCGAGACCAGCUGUGUCAAUGUUAACUGCUGGUUCCAGGAUACUCUUUCCCAGGUGGAUGAGGGUGAAAACAAUAAAGAAUGUCACUCAUUGCUUCAGGGAAUUCCUGAAAACCAAUUAUCCAGAGCAGGUGAUGCUGGCUGUCUGUCCUGGGGACACGGACACUGAGGGUGGCUGAGUCAGCUCAUAGGAGGCCACGGAUCCUACAGGAGAGAAAACGGGAGAGAAAAGGCUUGAAACUGAGGAGCUGAACUCCAAGUAAAUCUUCCCACGUGCCUGGCCUGGACACAGAUCCAGGGAUGAAAGAGCCCUAAGGCAGUGUGAGCACAUGAGCACUGUGUGGGGGGAUUUCAGCCCCGCCGAGCCCAUCCACCUGCAGCAGGGUCAUGAGCAUCCUGCCCACCACAGGCGGGGGCCCUGCUGAGCUCAGAGUCAGGGCCAGGCUGGACCCAGAGCCCUGGGACUGGACCAGUGGCUAGGACCCUAGGGGCAGCACCUGUGCAGUAAGCAAGGACGCCGAGGAAGAGAGGGAUCCAUGCCAUGGCUGAGGCACCUCCGAUGCUGCUUCCUGAGGCCCAGGCUGGGCAGGUUCUUCCAGGCCUCUCUUAUCCCCUUGCUGGAAAGAGCGGCCCGUGAUGCAAAUCAGCAGUCAGGGGCUGCUGCAGGAGGAGCUGUGUGGUUUCCAGAGAAGGGCUCAGCCCCAAGGGACAGAGAGAGAGGGGGCCCCUAAAGACCCACCCUCAGCACACAGAAUUCUCAUUCUCCUUCUGGUCCCAUCAUCUGGGUUGACAUCGUCACUGUAGGUUGUGUUAUGGCCUCACUCCUGAGCUGAUCUGGCCAUGCAGAACUCUGAGAGGAAUUCUUUGUGCGUUUUCCAGGUAGUAUGAUGUCCUGCCCAUGUGGCCAUUCCUUGUCCUGCGUGGAGAUGGCCAGGGACUGACUUACAAUGGCGACUGAGGGAUUAUUCUGAGAUCUAAGGUGACACCGUAAGGCUGGCACACAUGCAGGGACCUGCCAUUGCUUCUGAGUGGUGCUUUCCACAAUCAAACUUCACCCUUGUCAUGUGCACACGGAGUGUUGAAAGACUCAGGAGAUGCUGUAAGUUCCUGGCCUUGGCUGUGAGCUCCUAGGGUAGGGCACAGGUGCUGUGCCUAUGUACCCCCAGUAUGUGGUCAUGGUCAGGUACAGCUUAGAUGCUGAAAGAAAACUUUGCUGUGUAGCAGAAUGAGGGGGCUCUCAGAGCAAACAGGAGGGUGAUGAAACACAUGUGCCCACAGGGGAGGAUGGCGUUUGUGGCAAUGACAGCGUUUUAGCACAGAAGAGUGGGCCAGUGUGUAGGGGGAAGCAAAGUGUCUGCACCUGUGUCAAAUAUGCAACAUUGGCCAGAGACAAAGCUGAGAAACACAAAGCCUGGAGAAUUUGUACUCGAUGUUAAGGAUGAUGCUGUAGAAAAACGACACCUUUCUAGAUCUCAGGUUGUGGUCACUGACCCUCCCUGCAUGUCAGCAUCUCCUUGUCACCCAGGUCUACCCUACCUCCAAGUGACUUUGCCAGGUGACUCUGUUCUGUCCCCUGGUGGCUGCUCCAUACUGGCUGCUGGAGGCUCAAGGGCCUCCUGGAUCCGGGUGUAUAAUUAAAAUCUUCUGUUCAGGUCCCUGAUUCCCUGGUCUGCAGACUGCUGGUGCCAAUGGAGGAAAUUUUUCUCUUCUCUUUGUGACUCAUGCCUGCCUCAAUACCAGGACCAGCGUACAGUGGUGACUCCUGCACCAAAGUCAGAGACAGAAGAACAUCCACCCAUCAAAUGUUAAUCCAGACCCACUGUGGUCUGGGACACGUUCCAUGCGGUGAAUUCAGCAGGAACAAGACACAGCCUUCUUGAAAUACAGGACCUAGGAACACAAAAUCUGCAAACUGCACUUAACACAAAAGGGAAGGGGCUGAGAUGGGGAGGAACAAUUCCAAGGUCACUUGGCAAGGAGAGAGAAAAGGAAGACGAGAAAUGCUCUGGACCUGUAACAGUAAGUCUUCUGAGUGUCCUGGGACCAGCCUGCCAGGGAGGGCAUGGGAAAAUCCUCAGCCCAAAUUCUCAGCCCAAAUCCCUCCCUAUGGAGACGGCAUCUCAGUCAGCUCUUUUAGCUGCCUGUAGGGGGCGCGCCUGCCACACUCUGGGUUGAAAGGGAGAGAAAAGACGGUUGAUUCCCAGCUCAGGAACCAAGCUGUCUAGAGACAUUUUCUUUUCUUUUUUUUUUUUAAUUUAUUAUUAUUAUACUUUAAGUUUUAGGGUACAUGUGCACAAUGUGCAGGUUAGUUACAUAUGUAUACAUGUGCCAUGCUGGUGCGCUGCACCCACUAACUCGUCAUCUAGCAUUAGAUAUAUCUCCCAAUGCUAUCCCUCGCCCCUCCCCCCACCCCACAACAGUCC
rnacentral:lncRNA from 10 species